ensembl:lncRNA
AACACCCUUCUCACCCAAGGGAUUUUAAAAGCCAAUCCCACCCCCUCCCCACAACCCUUUCCCCUAGCACUCAUUUCCCAUCUCUUCACAAAAUUGCCAGGGUAAUUGACUCUUAGAUGAGAUGAGUUUGACUUUCUACCCUGAUUUUGUAACAGAAGUUCUUUUGGUGAGGUUCUUUGUUUGAAAAUGCACAAUAAAAAUGGCUUUAGAAUGACUUCAGAGGGCUCUUUCUUUUUCUGGUGCCAACAACAGAUUCCAAAGCAGCUAUUAUUUGAGGUGCAUAAUUGGCCAAGUGCUCCAGGGGUUAUAAAGACUGCCUUCCUGUAGCUGGAAUAGACAGAUUUAGCCUCUUACUGAAACUGAAGGCUGCAAUGGCGAUAACAAAUCUGAUUCUAACUCUCCCAUGUCACUGCUGCCCAAAGGUGCCUUUGUCUCCCAGGAGAAAGAGGUUGGAGACUGUAUGUUCCAUGAAAGAAGGGGCCACCAAGUAUAUACACAGUUCCUGGUAUAAUCUUGGCUCAUAAUAGGCUCUCGAUAAAUGUUUGCUGGAAAGCGUGGUGACAGAAGAUCCUCACUGGUAUUCUGCUGCUGUUCUUUAAAAAAUAAAAAGCCUCAUUUUUUCUGCC